rnacentral:misc_RNA from 1 species
UUGACUUAUUUAAAAAUCUUACUCAGAGAGGCCAAUAAUUAUAAGAGUUUGGUGGUGUUCCUCCGGCGAGCGCCCCGUGAGGGGCCGGGGAGACGCCCCCCGAGGGGGAGGCCUGCCCGCCGAAGCAACGGUAUGAGGUAACGUUCGCGAUGGUUUAAGGGAGUUUUGCAACUCUUUAAUGAUCCCUCCGCUGGUUCACCAACGGAGA